ensembl:lncRNA
CAUUUUUUGCCAGUGCAUCAACAGAUGUCAGUUGGCAUUGAACCCUCCCAUCACACACACAAUCCCCACACCUUAAAUACACCACACUAUUCCAUCAUUGUCUGUGUAUUCUUGUUGUUUCCAUCCCAUUGCGACUUUUUUUUCCCCCCACGACUGUCCGUUUUUGAUCCCCGAAGCGCUUCCCCCGGUCCCACCGGUCUCCGUCCUCCUCCUCUGUUGGACUAGAGAGGCCGAUGGGCAUUUGGACGUUGAACGGUGGACUAAAUGGCUUAACGCGCCUUUUCGACUGAGAGAGAGGAGAGCGCAGAGCGGCCCGCCAAACCCAUCAUCAUGACCGGCUGAAGCAACGCCAAGGCAAGCACAGCCAGAAGAAGAAGAAGAAGAAGAAGGAGAAGGAAGGGAGGGAGAGAAGAAGAAGACGAGGAGUACGUGCAGACCCGCUGCUGCUCAUCUCCACGGCAACUGUGUUCUCGCCAGCUCACAGACUUCUGGGAGGAGA